GGGCGACGCCAGCAGACCGCAUGCAAAACAGGUUCAACGACAGUACGGGGCGCACCGACAAAAACGAAAAACGCACGCCCCCGCGAGCCCCUC
rnacentral:misc_RNA from 1 species